rnacentral:rRNA from 1 species
AGUGAACGCUGGCGGUAGGCCUAACACAUGCAAGUCUAACGGCAGCACAGUAAGAGCUUGCUCUUACGGGUGGCGAGUGGCGGACGGGUGAGGAAUACAUCUGAAUCUACUUUUUCGUGGGGGAUAACGUAGGGAAACUUACGCUAAUACCGCAUACGACCUACGGGUGAAAGCAGGGGAUCUUCGGACCUUGCGCGAUUGAAUGAGCCGAUGUCGGAUUAGCUAGUUGGCGGGGUAAAGGCCCACCAAGGCGACGAUCCGUAGCUGGUCUGAGAGGAUGAUCAGCCACACUGGAACUGAGACACGGUCCAGACUCCUACGGGGGGCAGCAGUGGGGAAUAUUGGACAAUGGGCGCAAGCCUGAUCCAGCCAUACCGCGUGGGUGAAGAAGGCCUUCGGGUUGUAAAGCCCUUUUGUUGGGAAAGAAAAGCAGCAGGUUAAUACCCCGCUGUUCUGACGGUACCCAAAGAAUAAGCACCGGCUAACUUCGUG